rnacentral:rRNA from 1 species
AUACGGAGGGUGCGAGCGCUAAUCGGAAUUACUGGGCGUAAAGCGUACGUAGGCGGUUGGUUAAGUUAGAUGUGAAAGCCCCGGGCUUAACCUGGGAACUGCAUUUAAAACUGGCGAACUAGAGUUGAGUAGAGGGGAGUGGAAUUUCAGGUGUAGCGGUGAAAUGCGUAGAGAUCUGAAGGAACACCAGUGGCGAAGGCGACUCCCUGGACUCGAACUGACGCUGAGGUACGAAAGCGUGGGUAGCAAACGGGAUUAGAAACCCCAGUAGUCC